AUUAAAUGUCCACAUUUGAAUGUCAACAGGUGAGAGAGGCAAGGAGUGUGAUUACAAAAGAUCCCCCCACGACCGGUUUGAUUAGGGUCUCUGGAUGUUGACCAAGUGAGCCCGGAGUUUCCCAUGCAGUCUUCCGGAGAGUAUAGGCCUAUCAGUACGGCCAAAACCUACGACUACGCGGACUGUCCGCACCAGUACGAGGAACUCCCGCACCUACAACUACGCCCCAAUGGCAUGUCCCCUGACUCCGUGGACACCCAUUCCUCCAAUGGCACCACAGUCACUUCAGGAAUUCACUCGGAACAGGAGGAAGGAGAGGGUGCCACUCAGUCGGCAGAGGAAAGGAAGCGGUUCAACCCGUUGUACGACACCAUGAUUAACACCUCACCCACCAUCUACAACAAGGUGAACACCACGGUGAAGGCCAAGCAGGACCACACCGUGCUCACCCAGCUACGCCUCAUGAAGCUGGCCAUCCUCCUCCUCAUCCUCAUCUCCAUCGCCUCACUCUUCAUCAGUGUGUACGUCGUCAUAGCGUUCAGUGAUGGACCCACUAAAGUAGCCUCCUUACAGAAAGAGCUCCAAAGUCUCAAGUCCAAUUAUACCACCAUGAACAUUAAGAUGAGGAUUUUGGAAUCUCUUGUUGCGGGGAAUAAGUCAUUUGAAUACAUCAAUGAUCUUGAUGACAAGCUGAUCUAUUUUCAACAACAGACGAAGGAGAAUAUAUCUUCCCUGAACUCAAAUUUAUCGAACACAAAAGUUACGUUACAACAAGUCCAUGAUCAAGUUAGUUUCAGUUAUCAAAACCUCACUUCCAUCAUGGCAUCCCAGAAUUCCAUAGUACAGGAACAGCUCCUGAAUAUCAGCAAAAUGGAGGGACCUCAGGGUCCCCAGGGAGUGGGUAAUCUGAGUGCCUGUUUUAUGAAGACUGAUACAGCCAGCUCUGCAAGUGACACAACGAGAACAUCCACUCUCAAUCCAUUUCCUCCGAUGGAGGACUUUGAGAAAUAUGUUGUGAUGUUUGUGACCUGUUCGAUGUCGGGAGGACUUUAUCAUACACUGAAUUUAACUGUAACAGACAGUCACAGAGUGCAAUACCAGUGCAUGUGUAGUGGACAGGUGUCUGGGGAGAGCAUCAGGAAGUGCCAGCUCCACGUCUGGCUCUGUCCGCGACUCUCAUGAUCAACUUCUGUGUACAAAAAUUAACUCUCAUACAUGUGAACUGUUCAACACUUGCCAUAAUCGAGAGCAUAAGUGAACUAUUGAUAAAUGGAUUAAACAGAGGGCUACAAAUGAACUAUUGAAAGAUGGAUCAAUUUAGAGGCCUACAUACAAACUAUUGAAUGAUGGAUAAAAUCAGACAAGGGAAUAUCUUUACUUCCUUGCAUUCAUUUAUUUCACUCUGGAGAAAACUGAAGCUGUGAUCAUGAGAUACUAAAUAUGUUAUUAAAUUAAGCCUCAUGAUAAAACCAGGAGUUAACAUUUGAAAUAUAAAGCCCAAGAUUUGGCAAGUGGUUGUCCACUGAAAAACCAAAGAUAUCUAGUCAUAAACUGAUCAAAGUGCUGUGUCAUACUAAGCUUCACGUCUGUAUUCAAAACUUGUCUGUAUCCUGUUUUAUAAUGAAGACUCAAUCCUUUACAUUUACAAAUGUAGUUGUCCUCUAGGGUAAUUAAUAACAUGUAAUGAUGUCUGUGUUCAGCUAACUGUUGGUCUGUUAACUUUACCAAAUUGCAGAGAUUCCAGAGAUUCCGCGCAGGGGGGGGGGGUUGUUGUUAUAUUUGAGUGGUAUACCAAGACUGUGAUAUAAAACCGUGUAUUUUGUUGUCGACAUUGAAAUAUUAACCUCACAAUUUUUAUUGUUGAUAUUUUUUUUAAAUGUCAAAUGUAAUAUUCAUGAAAUGAUGUUCAACAAUAUGUUUUGUAAAAAUGGAUCUUCUAACCAUUGAGAUGUUUGUUUGAUGACAACGAUGAUAAUGAUGACUGUGAUGACAAUGAUAAACAUUUCUAAACAUUUACAAUUUUAUCUUUCUGCAUAAUCUAAGAAUCUCACAGUUCUAAAAUGUUUGGUGUCUGCAACACAGUUAAGUACAUGUAUGUACAAAUUGAGUUAUACUGAACACUAUGAAUUAGAGAUUGAUGUGAUUGAAAUGCCAUGGUAUAAUGUGUGUGUACAAAAAGUAUAAUAGGUGCAGAUAAAUAAACAUUAUGAUUAAAAUGUGCAUGCUGAGGUGCUAUUAGUGUAGAAACUCAUUGUGCUAUGUCAAUACAAUAUGAAAUAAAAAUGAAAAUC
rnacentral:misc_RNA from 1 species